AGUGAACGCUGGCGGUAGGCCUAACACAUGCAAGUCGAACGGCAGCACAGGAGAGCUUGCUCUCUGGGUGGCGAGUGGCGGACGGGUGAGGAAUACAUCGGAAUCUACUCUGUCGUGGGGGAUAACGUAGGGAAACUUACGCUAAUACCGCAUACGACCGCGGGUGAAAGCAGGGGACCUUCGGGCCCUGCGCGAUUGAAUGAGCCGAUGUCGGAUUAGCUAGUUGGCGGGGUAAAGGCCCACCAAGGCGACGAUCCGUAGCUGGUCUGAGAGGAUGAUCAGCCACACUGGAACUGAGACACGGUCCAGACUCCUACGGGAGGCAGCAGUGGGGAAUAUUGGACAAUGGGCGCAAGCCUGAUCCAGCCAUACCGCGUGGGUGAAGAAGGCCUUCGGGUAGUAAAGCCCUUUUGUUGGGAAAGAAAUCCAGCUGGCUAAUACCCGGUUGGGAUGACGGUACCCAAAGAAUAAGCACCGGCUAACUUCGUGCCAGCCGCCGCGGUAA
rnacentral:rRNA from 1 species